UUGCUAUGAUGAAAAUCAAAACUUAUUGAAAGUUUCUUGAUGAGACUUCGACAAUUUGUGUCGAUCCUGAGCGGUUACCUGAGCAG